ACAAAGAAAGACACACAUACAUACACACACAAGACAUACAUACAUACAUACAAAGACACAUACACAAACAAACACACACAAAAUAUUUUAGUCACCCUCCUGUUUCCUACCUUUUAGGUGCAGGAGGGUGACUUUCUCUGGGGUCCAGUGGUGGCUCAGGUGGAUGGGAGUCAGUUCCCACUCUGACUCCCUGGUCUUAAUCCCGCAUGUCUCUCAGUGUAAGCUGGGAGGAGUGACAUUCAGUCACUUCCUCCCAGCUCUGUGAUCACAGGGGGCCCGGUGCGGCACACAAGCCGCAAGAUUUACACAGGGAGCUGCUGGAAAGGUAAGCGCUUGUUGCCGGCCCCCACUGCGCAUCCAUGCCACCUGACCACCAGGGACUGUCAUAGCCCCCCUCGCUGGCCAGGCAACAAGCAGGGUGGGGGGGACAAAAAAUUUAAAUAAAACAUAUAAACAUUAAAAAUUUUAAUAAAAAAUGCCUUUCUCCCCCCCGUUUUACACCAAUCACAUCCCUUCAGGAACACACACACUACAUUAUAUAUACACACUACACACUCUGUAUAUAAUGCAGAAUGUGCAGUGUGUGUAUAUAAUGUAGUGUGUGUAUAUAAUGCACACACACUAUACAAACACUGCAUUCACUUUACGCACAUUACACACACUGCAUUCGCUAUACACACACUGCAUUCGCUAUACACACUACACACUGCACUCACUUUACGCACACUACACACACACUACACAAACACACGCACUCUGCAUUCAUUAUAUACACACUACACAGUCACUGCAUUAACUAUACACACUACAAAAACAGUCACUGCAUUAACUAUACACACUACACAAACUGCAUUCCUUUAUACACACUACACAAAUACACACAGCAUCCACUGC